rnacentral:rRNA from 1 species
UAGGGAAUCUUCGGCAAUGGGGGCAACCCUGACCGAGCAACGCCGCGUGAGUGAAGAAGGUUUCGGAUCGUAAAGCUCUGUUGUUAAAGAAGAACACGUAUGAGAGUAACUGUUCAUACGUUGACGGUAUUUAACCAGAAAGUCACGGCUAACUACGUGCCAG